rnacentral:lncRNA from 1 species
GCAUCUAGAAAACUACGACCUUAUUUUCAAUGUCAUCCUAUUGUUGUUGUUACUGCUUUUCAUUUAAGAAAUAUAUUGCAUAAACAUGAACUGUCAGGAAGAUUAGCAAAAUGGGCUAUAUAAUUAAGUGAGUACGAAAUAAUUUACCAACCUCUAACUGCUAUCAAAUCUCAAGUACUCGCUGAUUUCGUAGCUGAUUUUAGUCAAAGCAUACAUCUAGAAGCAGAAAAAGAAUUACAAAUUUUUAACGGAGCUAAUCCGGGGACUUGGCUAUUAUUUACCGACGGUUCAUCUAAUGUAAA